GAUGUCCUGAUGCAAAUCUCCAGUCUGUCCAGUGUACUUCUGUCCUGCUGACUGAUCUUGUUCUUUGUGUGGAGCAUCAGAGGUCACAUCUCCACACUCAGGAUGAUCAACACACUCACUCUGCUGCUGGUUGCUCUCUCUCUGUCCUGUUGUACAGGUCAGAGGAUGGAGUCUAUUCCUUCCAGUUCAGUGGUGAAACGUCCUGGAGAGACUCUCAGUCUGUCCUGCAGAGGAUCUGGAUUCACAUUUAGUAGCUAUGCUAUGAACUGGAUCAGACAACCUGCAGGAAAAGGACUGGAAUGGUUGGGGAUUAUCUGGUACGAUGCAAGCAAAACUUAUUAUUCCAGCAGUGUUCAGGGACGGAUAGAAAUCACCAAAGAUAACAGCAACAGCAUGACGUAUCUGAGACUGUCCAACCUAAAGCAGGAGGACUCUGCAGUUUAUUACUGUGCAAGACACACACAGUGAGUUCAGUCAGUGAGGAGGCUGUACAAAAACCUUCUUUAACUUUUUACAGUCUCCACCAGGAGGCAGCAGAGUUUCUGGAAUUUCAGUUAUUAUGACAAACCAGUUUGUCUCCAAACCUUCACAGUUAAGCAGCAGCUGAGGCUGUGGUUUGUCUCUUCCUCUUUUAUUAUUUUUACCAACAACAGCUUCUCCACAGCAGUUUAUUGUUAAAUAUUUUUUCCAUCAGGUUGAACAGAUGUCGUGACCAAUUUUCAGUUAUGUCUCAAUUAUUUAAUAAAUGUUUUGAGUCUGCUCAGAAAUUAUUCAGACGCCACAAAAUGAACACAUGAAACAAGAAAAUAAAUGGGGAUUUGGCAGACAUGAACUUUUUUGAACUCAUAUGCACAAAUUCAGCAGUAGACAAGAAGAUUAUUGUUAAUAUUAUUUUACAUAUUUCCAU